rnacentral:pre_miRNA from 7 species
UUGCUUGAUGUUGAAAGAUUCUCGAAUUCCCGGCCAAUGCACCAAAUGAAAGACCCCCGAAGUGAGACCCUCACUCAGACCACUCAAGUCCCGGGACAGCCGCGUACCCAAGAAGACACUGAGACCA